rnacentral:rRNA from 1 species
GACGAACGCUGGCGGCGUGCUUAACACAUGCAAGUCGAACGGUAAGGCUCCAGCUUGCUGGGGUACACGAGUGGCGCACGGGUGAGUAACACGUGUGUGACCUGCCCUUCACUUCGGGAUAAGCCUGGGAAACUCGGUCUAAUAUCGGAUAGGACCGCACCGCGCGGGUGUGGUGGAAAUUUUUUUCGGUGUUGCAUGGGCCCGCGGGCUAUCAGCUUGUUGGUGGGGUAAUGGCCUACAAAGGCGGCGACGGGUAGCCGGCCUGUGAGGGUGGACGGCCACAUUGGGACUGAGAAAGGGGCCAGACUCAUACGGGAGGCAGCAGUGGGGAAUAGUGCACAAUGGGCGGAGGCCUGAUGCAGGGACGCCGGGUGGGGGAAGACGGCCUUCGGGUUGUAAACUCCUUUCAACAUCGACGAAGAGUUACUGACGGUAGAUGGAGAGAAAGCACCGGCUAACUACGUG